CAAGAACACAGUGGCCUCCAUCAUUCUGCAGUGUUGAAGGUCCCCAAGAACACAGUGGCCUCCAUCAUUCUGCAGUGUUGAAGGUCCCCAAGAACACAGUGGCCUCCAUCAUUCUGCAGUGUUGAAGGUCCCCAAGAACACAGUGGCCUCCAUCAUUCUGCAGUGUUGAAGGUCCCCAAGAACACAGUGGCCUCCAUCAUUCUGCAGCGUUGAAGGUCCCCAAGAACACAGUGGCCUCCAUCAUUCUGCAGCGUUGAAGGUCCCCAAGAACACAGUGGCCUCCAUCAUUCUGCAGUGUUGAAGGUCCCCAAGAACACAGUGGCCUCCAUCAUUCUGCAGUGUUGAAGAUCCCCAAGAACACAGUGGCCUCCAUCAUUCUGCAGCGUUGAAGAUCCCCAAGAACACAGUGGCCUCCAUCAUUCUGCAGCGUUGAAGAUCCCCAAGAACACAGUGGCCUCCAUCAUUCUGCAGUGUUGAAGGUCCCCAAGAACACAGUGGCCUCCAUCAUUCUGCAGUGUUGAAGGUCCCCAAGAACACAGUGGCCUCCAUCAUUCUGCAGUGUUGAAGAUCCUCAAGAACACAGUGGCCUCCAUCAUUCUGCAGCGUUGAAGAUCCCCAAGAACACAGUGGCCUCCAUCAUUCUGCAGUGUUGAAGGUCCCCAAGAACACAGUGGCCUCCAUCAUUCUGCAGUGUUGAAGGUCCCCAAGAACACAGUGGCCUCCAUCAUUCUGCAGCGUUGAAGGUCCCCAAGAACACAGUGGCCUCCAUCAUUCUGCAGCGUUGAAGAUCCCCAAGAACACAGUGGCCUCCAUCAUUCUGCAGUGUUGAAGGUCCCCAAGAACACAGUGGCCUCCAUCAUUCUGCAGUGUUGAAGGUCCCCAAGAACACAGUGGCCUCCAUCAUUCUGCAGCGUUGAAGAUCCCCAAGAACACAGUGGCCUCCAUCAUUCUGCAGUGUUGAAGGUCCCCAAGAACACAGUGGCCUCCAUCAUUCUGCAGCGUUGAAGAUCCCCAAGAACACAGUGGCCUCCAUCAUUCUGCAGUGUUGAAGGUCCCCAAGAACACAGUGGCCUCCAUCAUUCUGCAGCGUUGAAGAUCCCCAAGAACACAGUGGCCUCCAUCAUUCUGCAGUGUUGAAGGUCCCCAAGAACACAGUGGCCUCCAUCAUUCUGCAGUGUUGAAGGUCCCCAAGAACACAGUGGCCUCCAUCAUUCUGCAGUGUUGAAGGUCCCCAAGAACACAGUGGCCUCCAUCGUUCUUAAAUGGAAGAAGUUUGGAACCACCAAGACUCUUCCGAGAGAUGGCCGCCUGGCAAAACUGAGCAAUCGGGGGAGAAGGGCCUUGGUCAGGGAGGUGACCAAGAACUCCAUGGUCACUAUGACAGAGCUCCAGAGUUCCUCUGUGGAGAUGGGAGAACCUUCCAGAAGAACAACCAUCUCUGCACUCCACCAAUCAGGCCUUUAUGGUAGAGUGGCCAGACGGAAGCCACUCCUCAGUAAAAGGCACGUGACAGCCCUCUUGGAGUUUGCCAAAAGGCACCUAAAGGACUCUGACCAUGAGAAACAAGAUUCACUGGUCUGAUGUAACCAAAAUGGAACGAUUUAGACUGAAUGCCAAGCUGGAGGAAACCUGGCACCAUCCCCACCAUCCCCCCAAGGUGCUUCAACAAAGUACUGAGUAAAGGGUCUGAAUUCUUAUGUAAAUGUGUUUUAUUUAAUUUUAUAUAAAUUAGCAAAAAAUUCUAAAAACCUGUUUUUGCUUUGUCGUCAUGGGGCAUUGUGAUGUCAUUAUGCGGUAUUGUGAUGUCAUUACGGGGUAUUGUGAUGUCAUUAUGGGGUAUUGUGAUGUCAUUAUGCGGUAUUGUGUGUCGAUUGAUGAGGGACAUUUAAGAAAUUUAGAAUAAGGCUGUAACGUAAUAAAAUGUGGGAAAAUUCAAGGGGUCUGAAUACUUUCUGAAUGCAAUUUAUAGCAAGACGCGCGUGUGUGUGUGUGUGUGUGUGUGUGUGUGUGUGUGUGUGUGUGUGUGUGUGUGUGUGU